GGUGCAGUGGCGACAUAACAUGAGGGAGGGAGUGAGGGAGUGAUCCACCCCAGCAAUGAGUGAGUGGUAGAAGGAAGGGUGUGGAGUCUCCAUCUCCAGACCCCCCCUUCUUGUCUCUUGAGGUACCAUGAAGAGUCACACACACACACACACAGAGACACACAUAGAGACACACUCUCUCACUCACUCUCACACUCUCUCAGACCAUUGAGAGUGUGGGUUGUUGUUGUCUUCCUCUGCUUCCCUUCCCUCCUUCUCCUUCCUCUGUCCCUUCUUUUUCCUUUCUGAAGGGGACAUGCUUUUGUUUUUUGCAGUUCCACUGCCAUGGGGCGGUGUACAGGUAGUGGUUGCAGUUAGUAUAUGAAGCAUAGGUGUCAUAACUUACAAGGUAAUUGUGUGGAUUGGCAAAACUUGUGUUCUAAUGGUAUGUGAAUCUUGUUAAAUAGGGUGGUUAUUAGUGUGUAUGUCAUGAAUUUGCAAAACUUGAAGUCAUUUAAACUCAAAGAUUGAGGCUCCAACAUUCUGAUUAAGUUUUUGUAAAUUUGAUGCUUAAAUGUAAUUAACUCAUAUGUGUGUGCACAAUUAACAUCUAAUUCAAUAAUGCACUUUUUUACAUGGUUUGACAAACUUGUAUGAGUAAAAAUACUUGCACAAAAAAUGUAUUAUAUAUAUAUAUAUAUAUAUAUAGUAUAAUGGACCAUAGUACUUGUAUUGAAAAACUAAAAUAAUCAAACAAUUUUCGAAUAUAAUGUACAAUAUGGCAUCAAAAAACUAAUAUUAUGUAUAUAUAAUAUGAAGUUACAAACAAAACCAAUGAAUACCUUCAUUGAAAUUAUGUAACAUGAUAAAAUAGUUACUUCAACAUAGAGAAAAAAUUAAUUUUAAUAAUUGACUUGAUUUU